UCGAGUCGGCCUGCGCGGAAGAUGUAACGGGGCUAAACCAUGCACCGAAGCUGCGGCAGCGACACUAUGUGUUGUUGGGUAGGGGAGCGUUCUGUAAGCCUGCGAAGGUGUGCUGUGAGGCAUGCUGGAGGUAUCAGAAGUGCGAAUGCUGACAUAAGUAACGAUAAAGCGGGUGAAAAGCCCGCUCGCCGGAAGACCAAGGGUUCCUGUCCAACGUUAAUCGGGGCAGGGUGAGUCG
rnacentral:rRNA from 1 species